rnacentral:rRNA from 1 species
AGCGAACGCUGGCGGCAGGCCUAACACAUGCAAGUCGAACGAACUCUUCGGAGUUAGUGGCGGACGGGUGAGUAACACGUGGGAACGUGCCUUUUGGUUCGGAAUAACUCAGGGAAACUUGUGCUAAUACCGAAUGUGCCCUUCGGGGGAAAGAUUUAUCGCCAUUAGAGCGGCCCGCGUCUGAUUAGCUAGUUGGUGAGGUAACGGCUCACCAAGGCGACGAUCAGUAGCUGGUCUGAGAGGAUGACCAGCCACACUGGGACUGAGACACGGCCCAGACUCCUACGGGAGGCAGCAGUGGGGAGUCUUGCGCAAUGGGCGAAAGCCUGACGCAGCCAUGCCGCGUGAAUGAUGAAGGUCUUAGGAUUGUAAAAUUCUUUCACCGGGGACGAUAAUGACGGUACCCGGAGAAGAAGCCCCGGCUAACUUCGUG